rnacentral:lncRNA from 1 species
UAAUUUUUAAUAAAAGCAAACUUGUUUCUCUUACUUAAAAAAGUAUCGUUUAUUUUUUCAGAUUUGCACACUAAGAUUGUCUAUUUUUUCAAAAAAAAUCUGCUAGGCUAUUAAUUGGAUUUCUAUUAUGCUUGUUAAAUAAUUUGGUGACACAUUUUGACAAUAGAUCUCUAUCCAGAAACAGGUUUUUUUGUCCCUUAGUCUUAUAGUUUUAUUAAUACACCUACUCUCUUCUAAUUUUUUUGUUUUAAUUGCUUUGGAAGAACCAUACACUUUCUAAGGGAUAUUAGUGCUGUAUAUGCAACAAAUGAGAACACUAAGAAGGGUGUUUUAUCAGCUAUGUUUCCUGUUGAUCCUGUGAAAGAAAAUUAUGUUCAUAAAGUGGAAAACUGUAUUUUUUCAACCUCCUUCUCAACUCCUUUCAAAUCAAGA